rnacentral:rRNA from 1 species
GACGAACCGAGCGAACGUUGUUCGGAAUCACUGGGCUUAAAGGGCGCGUAGGCGGCCCACCAAGUCAGAUGUGAAAGCCCCGGGCUUAACCUGGGAAUAGCAUUUGAGACUGAUGGGCCUGAGUUCCGGAGAGGUGGGUGGAAUUCCCAGUGUAGAGGUGAAAUUCGUAGAUAUUGGGAAGAACACCGGUGGCGAAGGCGGCCCACUGGACGGACACUGACGCUGAGGCGCGAAAGCGUGGGGAGCAAACAGG